AGCAGUUUUCAAAAUAAAGCAACAUCUGUCACCCCAUUGAUCACCAGUGUUGAUUUGUCUAAUCUGGCCAGGUAGAUGGGUGUCCCCUUCCUCCCAGACCACUCCAUGUGUGUGCCUCCUGAAGCCGAGCACUUGGUCACUCGGUAGAACAGGAUGACCUUCCCUGACAGAGGAGGACCAUCCUUCUGUCAAGGGUAUGUGAGUCACGGUGCUAGAACCUCCAGACAAAUUUUCUUCGCAUCUUCUAAUGAUGAGAAAUUUAACUCUAAAAAAUCAUUAUGAAAUCAUGGAUUUAAAUA
ensembl:misc_RNA 7SK 7SK RNA